rnacentral:lncRNA from 10 species
CUCUUCUUCCACCCAUUCCCUGGAAACCACUAAUCUACUUUCCGUCUCUUUGGAUUUAACUACUCAGGACAUUUUAUAUUUCAAGUGAUUGAAGAUGUAAAAAUGCAACCAGGAGUAGCUCUGAGAAACACCAGGAUUAUCUAUCCACCCUUCUGAAGCUGAGCAGCAGAUUUAUGGAAUCAGAACAGGGAAUGGACUGGGUGCUUAACACCAAUUAGAGCUGCACAUCUGAAGAAGGGAAGAGAAAGAUCCAAAAAUCUCACAAGAUAGGAGGAGAGUGCAGAUCAGAACCCACCACCUUCUCUGACUCCAAAUGCAAUGCUCUUGGCUUGUCUGCGCACCACUUCUUCUCCAUCUCCAGGUCACUGCAUUUAAUUCUAUCCCAUCUGAGUAUGUGAAAUGGAAGCUUGUUUAGAAAAAUCUUUUUAUCUGCCACCUCCUGAAUCUUAAUUCGUCUUAGUGCCAAAAUGUAUAGUAAUCCACAAAGCUGAAGAAGGCUGCAUCAUGUUUGGGACUUGUUCCCCGCUCAUUUGGAUGGCUGGAUCAGAAACAACAGAAGAAAGAGUGCUUGUCUCUUAGUCAGCACGUAAGCCGGACUGUCUAGGAAAACCUCCCCUUCCUGUGUCUGGAGGUGUUGAAAAAAAUAAUUCAACAAUGCUGCCCCUGCUGGCCACCAGUGUACCAUGCAAUAAUUCCAUGGCCCCUGCCACAGCCCAGGAAAUGGAGGAAAUGGCCAGGCAGCCACAUUCUCUCAUCCUGCAGAAGGACCCUUCUAGGUGUUAGAGGUUGAGGGAUUUUGGCUACAUAUGGCCCCAUACAUCUUCCUAGCUAUAGAUUCCAAUGGAAGAAGAGAACUUUCUUUCCUCUACUGAGUGCAUAUAAACUUCUGCAUCUUGCUUCUGGCCUCAACUUGAUCUUCAGCAUCAACAUCAAGCAGAGCAGCAUGAGAUGCAGUGCAAUGAAUAAACAGUUCUUGGUCACGGGCUUGCCCUUGCAGUCUGGAAAGAAAAUCCUGCAACUGAGAGAGCCACCAUGAUUUCCUGAAGUAUUUGGUGAAGAACCAUUCUCCAAACGUGAAGUCAGGAGAUAUGUAUUGCUAUUAUCAGAGCUGAGGAAAAGACACUAGAAGUUUGAAAUCUCAGAUGUCCACAGCAUCAUGACACAUAGUUAGGAUUCCAUGCUGAAUAGAAGGGGGAACCUACUGAAGAGUUUUCAGCAGAAGAGAGACCCAAUAAAACUUGCGUGUAAAUUAUAACCAUUGCUUCUGUAUAGCAUUCUGAUUGGAGAGUCAGGUAUAGAUGCACAGAGAGCAGUUAGAAGGUUAUUAUAGUAGUCUAGAAGUGACUGUGGACUUGUAGGGAAAUGGCAAAUAUUUAGAAAACAAAUUCAAUAACACUCAGCAAUCAGUUGGACUUGGGGUAUGAGGAAGGGAGAAAUGUCUGGUCUGAUUCCAUCACAAGGCCUUGUAUAUGCUGUUCCCUUUGCCUAAAAAUUCCCUUAGCUCCUCUUUUAACCUGGCGAAAUGUUGCUCCUUCAUCAGGUCUCAGCUUGAGCAUCUCUUCUCCAG